rnacentral:rRNA from 1 species
UACGGAGGGUGCGAGCGUUGUCCGGAAUCAUUGGGCGUAAAGGGCGCGUAGGUGGCCCGGUCAGUUCGUGGUGAAAGCGCGGGGCUCAACCCUGCGUCGGCCAUGAAUACUGCCGCGGCUGGAGCACUGUAGAGGCAGGCGGAAUUCCGGGUGUAGCGGUGGAAUGCGUUGAUAUCUACAGGAACUCCGGUGGCGAAAGCGGCGUGCUGGACCUUUUCUGACGCUGAGGCGCGAAAGCUAGGGGAGCAAACGGG